GUUCCUUCAGAGACAUCCGAUAAAAUUGGAACGAUACAAAAAAAAAUUAGCGAAGUCCUUGCGGAAGAAUACACGCACAAUCGAGAAAUGCUCAAAAAGUAU
rnacentral:snRNA from 1 species